UACGAAGGGGGCUAGCGUUGUUCGGAAUCACUGGGCGUAAAGGGCGCGUAGGCGGCUUUAUAAGUCGGGGGGUGAAAGCCUGUGGCUCAACCACAGAAUUGCCUUCGAUACUGUAGAGCUUGAGACCGGAAGAGGUAAGUGGAACUGCGAGUGUAGAGGUGAAAUUCGUAGAUAUUCGCAAGAACACCAGUGGCGAAGGCGGACUUACUGGUCCGGUUCUGACGCUGAGGCGCGAAAGCGUGGGGAGCAAACAGG
rnacentral:rRNA from 1 species